CCUACGGGAGGCAGCAGUGGGGGAUAUUGCACAAUGGGGGGAACCCUGAUGCAGCGACGCCGCGUGGGUGAAGGAGCGUUUCGGCGCGUAAAGCCCUAUCGGCAGGGAAGAAGGAGGACGGUACCUGACUAAGAAGCCCCGGCUAACUACGUGCCAGCAGCCGCGGUAAUACGUAGGGGGCAAGCGUUAUCCGGAUUUACUGGGUGUAAAGGGGGCGCAGACGGCAGCGCAAGCCAGGAGUGAAAGCCCGGGGCCCAACCCCGGGACUGCUCUUGGAACUGCGCGGCUGGAGUGCAGGAGGGGCAGGCGGAAUUCCUGGUGUAGCGGUGAAAUGCGUAGAUAUCGGGAGGAACAUCAGUGGCGAAGGCGACUAUCUGGCACAUAACUGACGCUGAGGAGCGAAAGCGUGGGGAGCAAACAGGAUUAGAUACCCUUGUAGUC
rnacentral:rRNA from 1 species